rnacentral:lncRNA from 1 species
GAGGGUGCAACUCUACCAACAUGAACAACCAAGGAAGGAGAAAUGACAUGGGGGCCAAGUCCUGAUGACCACGCAGCAAGCCCGUGAGUGACGUUCCAAGUCACUCCCAGCCCCUCAUGUAAGCAUCAAGGUGGAUACUACAAUGAAAACCAACUGUCACUGCAUCCUACCUCAAGGUCUUAACUUCCAUGUAAUAGGAUCUCUCAAGCCAGAACAACACAAACCCAGACACUGCUGGACCAGUGAGACCAAGAUUCAGGCCGAGUCUAAAAUAUCAACCUCAAGAUUCUCUGGAACCCAAAAGCUGCCUAGAAUUGUGGUGGUAGGGUCUUGCUCUGUCACCCAGGCUGAGGUGCAGUGGCACAAUCACAGCACAUUGCAGCCUCCAACUCCUGGGUUCAUGCGAUCCUCCUGCCUCAGCCUCCCAAAUAAGGUAAAAGAUGCCUAUCACCUUGACCAGCUAAUUUUUUUAAACCUUGUGGUAGAAAUAAGGUCUCACUUUGUUUACCAGGUUAGUUAUGAAGUCCUGGCCUCAAGCGAACCUCUGGCCUCAGCCUCCCAAAGUCCUGGAAUUAUAGGCAUGAGCCACCUAAACCAGCCAAGGUACAUAUCUAGAUCAACUCUUGUUAAUAUAUACAAGGAUAUCUAA